ACAAUGGAGUUUUUAAACUCUACAAAUAAUUUUAUUGAUCAAAAUGU
rfam:Theobroma cacao cultivar Matina 1-6 chromosome 2, whole genome shotgun sequence.